rnacentral:rRNA from 1 species
UACGGAGGGUGCAAGCGUUAAUCGGAAUUACUGGGCGUAAGCGCACGCAGGUGGCUGAGUCAGUCGAUUGUGAAAGCCCUGGCUUAACCUGGGAAUUGCAGUCGAUACUACUCAGCUAGAGUAUGGGAGAGGGUAGUGGAAUUCCCGGUGUAGCGGUGAAUGCGUAGAUAUCAGGAGGAACACCGGUGGCGAAGGCGGGUCUCUGGGCAGUAACUGACGCUGAGGAGCGAAGCGUGGGGAGCGAACAGG